CCUAAUACAUGCAAGUCGAACGAAAGUAGUAAUACUUUAGUGGCGAACGGGUGAGUAACACGUAUCUAACCUACCAUUUAGUGGGGAAUAACUGUUGGAAACGACAGCUAAUACCGCAUAUGUUAUUUAUUUGCAAUGAUAAAUAAUGAAAGGAGCAUUUGCUUUGCUAAUUGAUGGGGAUGCGGCGCAUUAACUAGUUGGUAGGGUAAUUGCUUACCAAGGUAACGAUGCGUAGCCGAUCUGAGAGGAUGAACGGCCACAUUGGGACUGAGACACGGCCCAAACUUCUACGGAAGGCAGCAGUAGGGAAUUUUUCACAAUGGGCGAAAGCCUGAUGGAGCAAUGCCGCGUGACUGAUGAAGGUCUUCGGAUUGUAAAGGUCUGUUGUAAGGGAAGAAGUGCUAGAAUAGGGAAUGAUUUUAGUAUCGACCUUACCUUACCAGAAAGCCACGGCUAACUAUGUGCCAGCAGCCGCGGUAAUACAUAGGUGGCAAGCGUUAUCCGGAUUUAUUGGGCGUAAAGCGUGCGUAGACGGUUUUGCAAGUCUGAGGUUAAAUUUAGGGGCUUAACUCCUAACCGCCUUGGAAACUACAUUACUAGAGUAUAGGAGAGGUUAGUGGAAUUUCAUGUGUAGCGGUGGUUUGCGUAGAUAUAUGAAGGAACACCAGUGGCGAAGGCGGCUAACUGGCCUAUUACUGACGU
rnacentral:rRNA from 1 species